GAAACACCAGCUCCGCUCCAGUGGAAAAUACUUCCGAGAAAACGCCGGGCCAGUGCUCUUGCCGAGGUCGCGACGGACAAAACGCGGACAAAGGAACGAAAGGCACCGCGACCAGCAAGGCGGACGCCAUGCAAGAGGCAAUGUUGUGGCCAAAACAUCCGUCUUGGCACUUUUAAGGGUGCUGCCACCUAGAAACUGCGGACACCGAGAAUUGAGUGUUGCUAACAGGGAGAAAGACCGGACUUGCAGGUGAUAAAAUGAAUGGAGUGGGAUUAAAAUUUCAAAAUAAAAUACAGACCAGCUUGAAAAUCCCCCCAGCAGACAAAACAGUGUGAGCCGUUUAAGGCAAAACUAAAUCGAGUUUAUUUCAAAACUUACGGAAAUUUAAUGUAGGCUAUUUCUUACACAUGCCUUUGACAACUGUUUUUAAAAACAACCCUCAAGUAACGGUCCAAAACCGGGAUGCGAUAACCACCGCUUAGCCAAUCUCCUUCCCGCUGGAAACCCCCAUUGUAAUAACCAAUCACUGUAAAGGUCAAACAGCUUCCUGUUUGCUUUGUCAGCGGUCCCGAAAGGUCAAUCCUCUGAGCUUUAUACUUGGUUUCCGUUUGAAACGUACCGGUUUGUGAACAGUUUGUCUCUCCCUCAGUAAAAUAUUUCUAUCCAGAAAACUUUUCUGAAUUUUAACCGUGUUGUCGUCAGGUAGAAUGGGAAGAAUACCCCUUAAGCACCCAGAGGCAGAUAAGGUACUGAUAGCCAAGGAGCCUGCUGUGUUAACUGCCUUCUGGUGGCUCUGGGAGUUUGAGGGUAAAUCUCAGAAAUCAUUUACAAUCAUCAGCAUGCAGAAAUGCUUCAUCUUCAAGAAGUUCAUGGAAAAGACUCUAGAAUUUAAGUUCAUGAUAACUUGAAGAUCAUAACAGCAAACUGGGUGCCCAGUGGGAAGAAAAAUGAUGGAAUGUCAUGUCAAGGAAUGCACAUGUUGUAGUAGAAUUGAGCACUUAUAGGUACUACAGGCCUGUUAUUUGGUCUGAAACAUUUUUGUGAGAGGUGAGUGAAAUAUUGUUCUUUUUCCUUUGGUACCUUCCUUUCACUUUCUGAAGCCAGUUGUUGAGCUUGCAAAAUAAAUUUGUUAACAACUUCAUCAGAAUCAUGUUGGAGCAGAGAGAAUUCUCAAAUUUAGGUGGAAGGCUCAUGGCCGUUUGUUUAGUGUAGCAUAAGGCAGCUGAUUCCCUGUGGCCUCCAUUGAAUCAGAUUUGGAGUAUCCAGGUAUUAUUAAAAUCCAGGUAUUUUAAUAACAGUCAGCUGCUCGGGCAACGGAAUGGAAUCUAAUAGCUUUGGAGACUAGUGUCCAUUUUUUACGGGCUGGCCAGAAGUGGUGAUAAUCCUUUCUGUUUUAUAGCAUUCCAAAAUAAGGAACCACUUAUAAAAGGUAGAGUGACCGUCAGUGUAAAUAUUUGUUAUUGGAUCCUUGGCUAACUGACAAGCCCUAAUAAAUCAAUUCACCUUGUUGAACUUAUUUGGUGUCUGGUCAAUAAGAAUUUUGAAUUUUUCUGCUAUUGUGGUUAUCGUGUACCCAACUUAAUAAUG